AUUUGAACCAUUUUAUAUAGUAGAGAUCUUCAUUUAUUAAAUUUACCACUUUGUAAAGCCUGAUGAAAGAUUAUGAAACCGGUCGCUACUGCAAAAUUACUUCAAUAAACAAAUCUUUCCAUUA